rnacentral:rRNA from 1 species
UACGUAGGGUGCAAGCGUUGUUCGGAAUCACUGGGCGUAAAGCGCACGUAGGCGGAUUGCUAAGUCAGGGGUGAAAUCCUGGAGCUCAACUCCAGAACUGCCUUUGAUACUGGCGGUCUCGAGUCCGGGAGAGGUGAGUGGAACUGCGAGUGUAGAGGUGAAAUUCGUAGAUAUUCGCAAGAACACCAGUGGCGAAGGCGGCUCACUGGCCCGGUACUGACGCUGAGGUGCGAAAGCGUGGGGAGCAAACAGG